rnacentral:rRNA from 1 species
AGUAGUUGAUCAGUGGCUCGAGGACGAACGCUGGCGGCGUGCCUAACACAUGCAAGUCGAACGGAGGUUUGUUCGGCAGAACCUUAGUGGCGAACGGGUGAGUAACGCGUAGGCAACCUGCCCCCCGGCCGGGGACAACACGCCGAAAGGUGUGCUAAUACCGGAUACGAAGGCGGCAUCGCAUGGUGCUGUUUUGAAAGAUGGCCUCUAUGUAUAAGCUAUCGCCGGGGGAUGGGCCUGCGUCCGAUUAGCUGGUUGGUGGGUAACGGCCCACCAAGGCGACGAUCGGUAGCCGGUCUGAGAGGAUGAACGGCCACAUUGGGACUGAGACACGGCCCAGACUCCUACGGGAGGCAGCAGUGGGGAAUCUUCCGCAAUGGGCGCAAGCCUGACGGAGCAACGCCGCCGUGAGUGAGGAAGUUUUUCGGAACGUAAAGCUCUGUUGUACCCGACGAACGUGCCCUCUAUGAACAACGGAGGGUAAUGACGGUAGGGUACGAGGAAGCCACGGCUAACUACGUGCCAGCCGCUGC